CGGCAACUAUGUGCACUCUGAAGAGCCACUCGUUAGCUGGCACUGAAAUAAAAAACAGAGGAAGAAGUCCUUUUGUGGAAGAAAAAAGCUGUUUCCCUUCAGCUCUCCUGCCACAUGCAG